rnacentral:rRNA from 1 species
GCUCGAGUGGCGAACGGGUGAGUAACACGUGAGUAACCUGCCCUUGACUUUGGGAUAACUUCAGGAAACUGGGGCUAAUACCGGAUAGGAGCUCCUGCUGCAUGGUGGGGGUUGGAAAGUUUCGGCGGUUGGGGAUGGACUCGCGGCUUAUCAGCUUGUUGGUGGGGUAGUGGCUUACCAAGGCUUUGACGGGUAGCCGGCCUGAGAAGGUGACCGGCCACAUUGGGACUGAGAUACGGCCCAG